AUGGCCGCGGCGGGCGGGCGGUGGCGCGCGUGCGCGCUGGGACGUGGGGCUGCGGGCGGGAGGCGGGGAGGGUGGGGGAGGGGAGCGGGCAGGAGCGCGGCUGAGCUGCUGCCGCCGCCGCAGCCGCCGCCGCAGCGAAGGGGCCAUGUUGUGUGGUGUGUGGGGCGGGGGGGAGGAGGAGGAGGGAGUAAAGCCGAGAGAGGAGACGGGAGAGAGACACCACACACACACGGCACAAGAUGGCCGGAGAGGCAGCAGCACCCCGAGCUGUCAGGCGCUCCGCCGCGGCCGCGGGGCCCGCUGGCCGGCAAGGAGCUGCGCCGGGCGGCCCGCUGGCCCGCGGGAGCGAGGCGGCAGCGGCUAAGGCGAGGCAGGGCGCGCGGUGGGGUCGGAGCCCCCGGCAGAGGCGCCCGGGGCGGCCGGGCCCGCGACGCCGAAAGCGCCGCUGCGGCAGCGGCCGCGGCCGCUCCCCGGGGCCCCGGCGGCUCGACCCGGCGCGGGCGGGAGGCUCGGGCGGGCGGCCCGGCGCGGGCGUCGCGCGCGGGCGACCAGGAGGUGCCGGCAGCCGCGCUCGGACCCGGUAACUUACAAGAUUAAAAUUAAAUUUGGUUGACGAUGGUUCUGAACAAAUACAGCUCCUUUAUUUGAGGUAUGCCAUUUUGAAGACAGACCGUGGAGUUUUAUCCUUGAGGACAAAGGAAAUCUUUGCGAAAGUCUUAUUUUAUAUAGCAA
rnacentral:lncRNA from 1 species